rnacentral:rRNA from 1 species
UACAGAGGGUGCAAGCGUUGUUCGGAAUUACUGGGCGUAAAGCGCGUGUAGGCGGCGGCGUAAGUCGGAUGUGAAAGCCCUCGGCUUAACCGAGGAAGUGCAUUCGAAACUGACAGUCUUGAGUAUGGAAGAGGGUCGCGGAAUUCCCGGUGUAGAGGUGAAAUUCGUAGAUAUCGGGAGGAACACCAGUGGCGAAGGCGGCGACCUGGGCCAAUACUGACGCUGAGGUGCGAAAGCGU